CGUUGGUGACAGCGGAGGGAUCAUUA
rnacentral:rRNA from 1 species